UACGGAGGGUGCAAGCGUUAUCCGGAUUCACUGGGUUUAAAGGGUGCGUAGGUGGGCAGGUAAGUCAGUGGUGAAAUCUCCGGGCUUAACUCGGAAACUGUCGUUGAUACUAUCUGUCUUGAAUAUCGUGGAGGUUAGGCGGAAUAUGUCUGUAGCGGUGAAAUGCUUAGAUAUGACAUAGAACACCAUUGCGAAGGCAGCUAACUACACGAUCAUGACACUGAGGCACGAAAGCGUGGGGAGCAAACAGG
rnacentral:rRNA from 1 species